UACGUAGGGUGCGAGCGUUGUCCGGAAUUAUUGGGCGUAAAGAGCUUGUAGGCGGUUUGUCGCGUCUGCUGUGAAAAUCCGGGGCUCAACCCCGGACUUGCAGUGGGUACGGGCAGACUGGAGUGUGGUAGGGGAGACUGGAAUUCCUGGUGUAGCGGUGGAAUGCGCAGAUAUCAGGAGGAACACCAAUGGCGAAGGCAGAUCUCUGGGCCGUAACUGACGCUGAGGAGCGAAAGCAUGGGGAGCGAACAGG
rnacentral:rRNA from 1 species